GGUCAAUUACCCAAGUGGCUGAAGGGACCGCUCUCGAAAAGCGGCAGGGGAUGAAAGUCCCGCAAGAGUUCAAAUCUCUUAUUGACCGCCA
rnacentral:tRNA from 1 species